UCAAAUGCAGUUAAGACUUUAACAUUAACUUUGGGAGUUAAAGAAUAACGUAUAGUUACUUUUGAA
rnacentral:tRNA from 1 species